rnacentral:rRNA from 1 species
GGGCGUUAAGUUGCAGGGUAUAGACCCGAAACCCGGUGAUCUAGCCAUGGGCAGGUUGAAGGUUGGGUAACACUAACUGGAGGACCGAACCGACUAAUGUUGAAAAAUUAGCGGAUGACCUGUGGCUGGGGGUGAAAGGCCAAUCAAACCGGGAGAUAGCUGGUUCUCCCCGAAAGCUAUUUAGGUAGCGCCUCGUGAAUUCAUCUCCGGGGGUAGAGCACUGUUUCGGCUAGGGGGCCAUCCCGGCUUACCAACCCGAUGCAAACUGCGAAUACCGGAGAAUGUUAUCACGGGAGACACACGGCGGGUGCUAACGUCCGUCGUGAAGAGGGAAACAACCCAGACCGCCAGCUAAGGUCCCAAAGUCAUGGUUAAGUGGGAAACGAUGUGGGAAGGCCCAGACAGCCAGGAUGUUGGCUUAGAAGCAGCCAUCAUUUAAAGAAAGCGUAAUAGCUCACUGGUCGAGUCGGCCUGCGCGGAAGAUGUAACGGGGCUAAACCAUGCACCGAAGCUGCGGCAGCGACGCUGAUGCGUUGUUGGGUAGGGGAGCGUUCUGUAAGCCUGCGAAGGUGACCUGUGAGGGUUGCUGGAGGUAUCAGAAGUGCGAAUGCUGACAUAAGUAACGAUAAAGCGGGUG